rnacentral:rRNA from 1 species
CAGUCGCCGCGGUAAUACGAAGGGGGCUAGCGUUGUUCGGAAUUACUGGGCGUAAAGCGCACGUAGGCGGCUUUGUAAGUCAGAGGUGAAAGCCUGGAGCUCAACUCCAGAAUUGCCUUUGAGACUGCAUCGCUUGAACGUCGGAGAGGUGAGUGGAAUUCCGAGUGUAGGGGUGAAAUUCGUAGAUAUUCGGAAGAACACCAGUGGCGAAGGCGGCUCACUGGACGACUGUUGACGCUGAGGUGCGAAAGCGUGGGGAGCAAACAGGAUUAGAUACCCGCGUAGUCCCUGUCUCUUAUAC